GUGAGCUCCUUAGGGCUGGGACUUCUUUUGUUACUUUUCUGCUGCUGAGCACAGCAAGGCCUCAGUCUUGGGAAUGAGACCUUACCCAAAUAAUUGAAGGAUUGCAGGGCUGCUAGACAUGAGUUGGUGGAGUCAUAAAUGAGGGCAUGCUGAUGUGGCUGCACCACUCCUUAUCAUGUUUUCUCUUACCCAUCACCAGGACCCCCCAUGGCAGAGGCUCCCUUGCUCCCUUGGCUGGGAUGAAGCGCCAUGGCCCCAGGCAUAUGGAGCACACUGAGACAAACUGAGCAGCCUUUUGGAAAUGUCUUGAGAUGGUUGGCAAUGGAGAGAGAUUGCAGUGCAAGCACUUUUCUGGAUUACUCUGUCACCUACGUCAAAUCAAAGCAUCAAGGAUAUAAAUCUUCAGUAAACAUCUGGCCUCACUUCAGCCAGGUUAUGCAAUGCCUCAAGUACAUUCAGCAGCAGAUUAUGCUGCGUUCUCCAUUUGUACAAUGCAAGCUAAUGUGAAUAUCAAGUCACAUCAGUGAUCUAGACAAGUGCUUUGGAAAUAAAGACAGCAACCCAAACUGGGAAGUUCGGCCUUUCAGCUCCAACUUAAAGGUCACCAUGUUCGAUCAAGAUAUCGUCUCGUGACAGCAUUGCUGGUGUUCUCAGCAGUACUUGGGCACAAUGGCUGAUCUUUCAUCAGAAACUGUUAAGGAAGGAAGCCAACCCGUGAUUGAGUCCCCAGAUGACAGCAGUGUGAAAUGAGCUGACCUGCUCCAUUCUCAUGCAGCUUUCUCCAAAACAUCACACACGCUGUGGUGAGCAUCCUUGCUGUUAAGUCAUUUUGAGCAUUUUACUUUUUAUCAGAGGGUGUUCUUUUCUUUGAGAUGAAGCCAUCUGCUCAAUAUUUAAUAGUAUUUUAUAAUCCCCCGUUUUCUCCCUAGAAAAGCCCUCAAUAUGAGUCAUAAUAUAAACACAAUUUGUAAAUGAAACGUAGGCCUGGAUCAGCACCCUUCUCUUUGCUGCGGGGAAGCAUAAUCACUGAGAAAUGUUCUCCUAAUUGUUAGGAGGACAGGGAAUUGUUUCAUUUAAGUGAAAUGUGUUGUUAAGUUGUCUGAUGAUGGGAGUUGACUCUGAGGUUUCUGUACUUGUGGCAAACUGUCAAUAUUCCUAAAGCAUCUUGCAGUCACCAGUUUCAGAGGACAGGUUAUUUGCAAAAUAGCUUCCCCAUUAUAAUCCAGUGACACACAAAUCUGCUCCCUCCAUUCCAGCACUGGCCUUUCCAAAUCCAAAGUUAAAUGGCUUCUGCUCCAAGAGCCAAAUCGUCGCUGAAACUGCUGUGCUUCAGACAGAUCUGCUGUUACUGAGAAAAUAGGGCUCCUACAUCUUUGUACUGAAUAAUUUCCCAGGGUCCUAUCUUCAGUGCGUGGUAAUCCAGUGUAUGGCAAUACUAGAAUGUCAUAACUUCUGAAUAGUCUAAUAGAUGUGUAAUCUCAGUUAGUGGAAAUCCAGAUGCUCACAGACUUACUUGGGCAGAACAGUAAUUUGCUGUAAAAAAGCCCCCUAAAUUCAAUAGGAGAGUGUAUGCAGGUAUUGUUUAGUGUGUGUAAAAGUAUUCAGACCUCAUUAGCUAAUACCGGUGCCUCCAGCAAAGUUACUUCUUGAUUCCUACUACAGAAAAACUUUGCCUCUUUUCUGGUGGGGAGAAUGAUUUUUCUUUGUGUAAUAGUAAAAUAUGAAAUUAUAUUUAUGCAUACACUUGAGGUCUUACCCCAUCGUCAUGAAGUCCUGCAUGUUCAAGGGAUGCUAUUGACAUACACAGAAUUCUCCAAGUACCCACACUUGCAGUGAGCCCCUCGGUACGCACAGAACCCCUCUUGUCCUCUUUGUGAACUGUUGGUCAAUUUUUGCCUUGGAUAAUUUCCAAUAGGCAAGAAAACUGAGUGAAGUAGAUAUGUUCCUUAGUAAAACCACCUUUGCUUAGACUGUGCUUACCAGUUCCCAUCUCUCCCAGCACAGUGGAAAUUGUUUCUUCUGCCCAUGCUCUCACCAGCUUACUUUUGAUCUUCCUUAAUUGCUUUUCCAGGGGCAGUGACAAGCAUUUACCUCAGCAGGUGAAGAUUACCCUUCCCUCUGUUGUUUCCCUUACCCUCAACACAGGAGCUGCUAACCUGAGUUACUUUCCUCUAGCAUCACUAUUAUGCUGCACAACAAAGAUGUCAUGUUUAAACGUUAUCACAAGAAACAUCCUUGGCCGAGCAAAGAGGCUUUUCAACACGUAUCUGCAAACCAUCUUCAACAGGACCUUUCGCUGACCUGUGACAAGCAAGUGUGCAUCUUGCCUAUCGCAUAAUGGGACUUGCAGCUGCCCACGGUGCAAUGCUUCAGGGUCACCUUGGCUUACUGAGGUCACUUCCCAGGCAUUAUGCUUUUUGAUAAGCAAGGCCACAACCUUGGACAGCAGCCCCACAGUUUGUACUUGUGCAUGCUCAGCUCUCACACAGAUAAAAUAGCCUGUGAUGAAUUCCACUGUAAGAGCAGUAAAGAGAAGCAGUGUGAAUAGGGUUUGGAGAAGCAGAGGAAGUAAAUCUGGAGAGCGCUUGAAACAGCCUGUUAAGAAAAUGCAGAGUAAUGUGCAGCUCCUUGUCCUCAUCCACAAAGAGCACUCUGCAGGCAAAAACACCAAGCAGGUCAGGUGCCAAAGGCUGCUCUGCUCUCUGUAUUCAAUUAGCCAGAUGCAGCAAAAUAAUGAACUCUAUUCAUCGAGUGCAAGUCUCUCUUAUCACUUGUUUGACUUGAUGUCAUAGAAUCACCAUAGAUAAAGAAGGUGCAAAUAGUAGCUCAUUGUACCAAAACCUCAAAAUAAUAUGCUACUAAUGAAGGCAAUGUUAGUCAUGUAAACAUACACUGUUUACAACCCACUGAAAGAAGCUAGAUAGAAAUCUUACUCCACUUGAAUUUGCCUGCAGAUGUAGUGGAAAUGCUGUUACAAUCUGAAGCAGUGAUGGAGCACCUGGUGGGAAGGCAGGACCAGCCCAGGGGAGCUCAGAUGCAUGCAAUGCAAUGCACUGGGUGACCAGAAGGGUGGAACCAGGAUGCACCCCUUCCCAGCCUUCAUUGUAGGGUUGGCAGUGGAGGCAAGGGGAUAUCACUGAAGAUCCCUGCAUCCCUGAGGCCUUCUGAAGGAUAAAGUUCCUCUGCCAUAGCCUCAGACUGAAGCUGUAUGGGUAUAGUCCUGCGCUAGUUUUCAUUCAGAAAAAGCUGAACAGUUCAGGAUUGUUGAAGCCCAAAAGGAAGAAGAAGGAAGGGAAAAAAAAGCCAGACCCAAACCUUUCCUACCUGGAGAUCCUGCGUGGCACGUAAUCCAGUCAUGCAUCAGCCACACGCCUUCUGCACUGCAACCUGCACCAGCACUGAAGAGCAACUUGAGCAGCCUCAGAGGAGAUGACACACAUUGGGCUUCCAUCUCCACAUUCCAUGUGGAUGUGUCACCAUCAUUGCUGUGCAGGCAGCAGGGACAGGACAUGGUGUGGCUGGCAGCCCUGGGGAUGAGGAUAUUCAAUUCUGAGUGGCUUGUGAGCUGCUGCUUGAAGUUGUCCUGCAAGCAGAAAAUAAGAGCAGCCCAGAGGCUCCCAUAAACCACACCGGGUGUAAAAACUUGUCAGCAGCACCAAAUGAAGAGAGCGCUUCUAGAAAUGAGUAGUGAGUGCCUAUCUGGGAGUGUUGGGAAGAAUACUUUGGGUAUGCUCAAGGUGAAGAAACAGGCUUUGCCCAUGCAUUCACAGAUGGUAAGGCUGUGGGGCUUUAAAAUACCCACAAAAUCAGUAUUCUGUCUGCUACAUGGUGAGUGUAUGUAGGAAACGUGACUGGGAACUCUAGAAUGUCACUGCGUACUUUUAGGAGCCUUUUGCUGAGAAGUUGCCAAAAACAUAUGGUCUCUAUUAAUAAGGAUAUUUAGCAUUUUUCUUCCUAAUUUAUUCACAGGUAAUUAUUUGCUUAGCUAGCUCGAAGUGGGCCAGAAUCCAGCUCUUAUCUGUCGUGGAAAGCUGUCACAUUUCCCUCUGCCUUUCGCCAGCCCUCCCUUGAGCACAGCUAUGCAUCUGGCCAAGCAAAGCUGUGCUGCUCCUUCUCACUUAAAAUAGCUUACUGGCCAUUAAAACUCUUGUUGUACAGUCACAGUGCUGUGAAAAGUACUUUCCAAAGUACUGUGACUCUCAGUAAUUCGGUAAAAAAUAACAGAUUCAGCUGCUCAUCACAUUGGCUACCUGCUCCCUGCCAAGACAGUUGGCUCUUCCCAGGUCUGUGCCCAUGUCAGUGCAGUGCACGGCAAUGCCAGAACCUCACCUAACCAACACUUCAAAGACUGUUUUGUUUCACCUCUUGUGGUGCCACAUUCAAAUGUUAAAGAAAAUACAAAGGAAAAAAAAGCACCAUGCUCAAAAAUUCUUAUCAAAGAUUUACCGGUCCAGAGUCCGGGCUCUGCCUGAAAACUCUGAUGCUUUUCUUUCUAGGUGUAUCCUUCUUUCACUGCCCCUUCAGUCAUCAGAAUCACAAAACACGUUCUUUCUGAUGAGGAUUUAGCCGUGACCUGCACAUGAUUGCAGGAAAUAAGCCUUUAAAAUAUGCCCAAAUGCACUGCUUGUUUGAAGUCACUGAUCCUUAAAAUAGAUGUCUGGGAAAAAAAAAGUGUCAUUUCAAAUGCUUCUGCAGAUAUUGUUCCAGUAUGUGUAACAAGGGGUCACAUCAAGCCAAGUUACAUCAGUUGUGCUCCAUUAUAUCACGAACUGAGCCAAAUGAAUCAAAAUAUACAGUAAUAUUUCAACUGAUAAUGAAAGCUUUGUACAGUUUCUUUCCCCAGAUACUUCUCAGGAAGCAUUAAAAUAUUCAGUGUGAUUUGAGGGGGGCUUAUUUUAGCUAUUUGCCAAAGAUCCUCUCUCUGUGCAGAGUAUUCAAUGUUCAUUCAUUUUCUCAGUGUCACUGAUAAAUGCACAGCCCAGCAGGAGAAAAUCCUCAGCCACCAAGUGGUUUGAUGGCGCAGCUUACCUUGGAUGGACCUUUUCUUCCUCCCAGCUCUCCUCUUGUCUGUCUGCUCUCCUUCAUCUCUUGUUCAGUGGUAGCCCUUUUCAGAAAGGAUGGUCACAGUGGGGUUGGGAGCUGAUACAUCACUGAUGGAUUCAGCUGCAAAUAGGAAUUGCUGUUGUUUUUUGGCACCUUCUGCUUUGUUCCAUGCCUGGGGCAUCUGAGCUUCAGAUGCUUUUGCAAGAAGGAUGGGCAGUUGACUCUGAGCUCUGCUUCCCAAGUAGAUUUAGCUGUGCAGACUGCGUAGACCAAGAAAAGGCUGAACAAGCACAGAUACAGAGGGCAGAGUGACUCAGUCAUAAGAGGUUCUGGGAAGCUCCAGAAGCAUGGGAGAAUGCAGAGAGACUGACUCUUCUCAUGAAAAAUGAAUUCCCACUUGUGUUGUGAGCUUUCUACUCAGAGAUGGUGAGAAAAUAAUUGAUUUUUUAUUCUCUUUCAGGGACCUUAUGAGAUAUUGGUCAUGAGGUGCCAUCAUUGAAACCUCUGCAGGAAGUUGGUAUCCUAAGGUACUCACUGUCGUUUAUAGGUCCUGUUCCUGUCGCUGGUGAAUGUAUUGAGUACAUGGAUAGUAGUAGAACAGUAUUGUUUCCUCCUCAUUAGUCUCCCAAGGCAAAACACAAUUUGGUCCUACUUAAUUUAAUAUUAACAAAAUCAAGAUCAGUUCAGAAGUUUUACCUUUCCUGAGGUUCUCAGCUCUCUUAUGCCUGUGUGUAUACAGACUCCGGAGAAAAACAUUUCAGGCUUUUCCACAGCGAUGAUCAAAGAAAAAUCACAAAUGCAACGGACUUCAAAGCAAAGGGCAAUGGCCCAGCCUUCACUCAGCCAGUGUGCACAAAACGGAAGGGCACACGAGGUGGGAGAGGAAGUAGAGCUAUGCCACAGCAUCACCAGUCAAAACAAGUUCUGAACUUUCAAGCUGGGAAGGGAGAAAACAGUUUCCUUUUGAUCUCACUCCAGGUAAAUCCCCAUGGGAGCAUGUGUCUCAUUUGCAAUAGUUGAAUAAUAGAGAUUGAUAGGUUAAUCAGUUCCAGUACCAUUUAUGGAGUAAUACCGUGUGCUCAUAGCUGAAGUUUUAGCGUUUCUCAAGUUCAAAGAUGAUAGUGCAGGAUAGCACAGGAUGGCUUCUUAAAGACAGAUGCAUUAAUGAGGGCACCCCUAUGUCCUCCCAGCUAAAGCACAGCGGGCUGAUCCUGCUUUUGACGUGGUGAAGUAUGACAGCACAAGUACUGAAGUCAGUCCUGCAUCACUACCAGAUAGCAGCACAGAAAAUGAGGUCUUAAGAACAAUCAAUCUGACCCUGCAUUAGGGGUCAGGAUAUUGUUUUAGGUGGAAGCUGGGCUAUCUUGUGUAUAUAUGAAGUGGGCAUAAAAUGUAUUAAAUACAGAACUCAGGCUCCUAAUUAGGGGCUUUGAUGUCCUAUCAUAAGACUUCAGUGUGAAAACUGGACUACUAAAAUAGCUCCUUUCUAAUGACUCUAUCCUACUACUGUCCAGCUUGUCUAUUCUGUAUCCACACACAGGAUAGGCAGGUCUCCUACCUCUGCUGUGCUCUGAGGCUGAUGUGGAUUUACUGCAUUGUCAUACUUAUCAUUUCAGUGACUAUUGAGCAUGAUUUACUGCACUGACAGACCACACUACUGUUUGCAGUUCAGGCAUAAUUCUUAACCACUUUUUAAUACAGUUUCUCACAUCAUCUCCAGCAUUUGAGAGAAUAUAUAUUUAUUUUAAUCACCACGUCCUGAAUAUGUAAUUUUUUUUCUAGGUGAAAUUUCCUUUUAAUGGAGGCUGGGUUAUGAGAGAGCAAUUAUUUGAGUUACGUGCAUAUGACAGAAUAAUUUAAAAUCAGCUUUCGGGUCGAUCUUUUUUAAUUAUCUAUUUUAUCAACUGUUUUUGACUAGCAGUUUAAAUAAUUGUGUUUGCCUAAUAUCUGGAUGUAAUUGCUUUUUAGACAUCCUUUAUUCCAAUCCUGGUGUCGUUACCUUCUUGCAUACUGCGCAUGUUGGCACCUGUCUGUGCAGUGACAGAUCUGUGGUGACAGCUUGUAUAACUUAUUUAUAAAAUGAUGAAUUAUUUUUGAAUUUAACUUCAAGUUCACAGGCUGGAAAAGUGGAGAAACACCUGCUUGCUGCAGAGGAUCUGCUAAGGAAGUCCACAGGAAACUGUGCAUAUAGGGGAAGAGUACAUGCCAAGUGAAACAGAACUAUGCGGGUCAUUGUUAUGCUGGUCCAGGUUUCAGCGAGCACUUGGUGGAUGCAAUGCAAAGUGAGCAUCCAGCUUUGAGGCCACCAUGAGGACGAGCAUCCCUUAGCCCACCUGGCCUGGAUCCAGGCUGGGAACACACCACCAGCAGCAACAUAUGUUCUCCAGCCAUGACCUGCACCUUUCCAUCCAGCACUGUGAUUACCUCACUCCAUCCCCUGCCAUCUUCCUUCCUGCUUUGCAGCCCUCCCAGGUGAGGCGCUCACCUGCCAGCAGGAAGAGAAGCUGACAGAUGGACCAAGGAGCGGCAGACAGACAGACCGUGAGCACAAACCAGGCCCUGCCAUGGCGUGGCCGCUUGCUGGGCUCCACCUGGGACAUGCUGGCCACACGGCUGUUGGCAAUGCCGGAGGUGGGCAGUGGAGCCUGGGAAUGGACAAAGGAUGCACUGAUGGGAGAUGGGGACUUGAGAAAGCCCAGCAGGGACAGAUGGAAGUGACAGCCUAACUACCUGCCGUCCUCCGGACUUUGGAACGUCAUUUAAGAGUGGAAAAUGGCCAAUGAGAACAAAGGAUUUUGGCUUCCCUUUAACUCUGUUUUAAAUUCUGGAAUUUCUGAAUUACUGUGAGUAAAUGAGGAGACAUCAGCCUGUGUGAAUCAACGCCUGUAAGAACGCUGUAAGAAAACAGCCUGGGAAGCUGCCAAGAGCAGGAGGCUGGCUGCCUUCUUUGAAAGGCCAACACACAGAGAAGAGCAAUGAUUCGAGGUGAGCUCACCCUGCAGAACACUUCACCAUGCAGACCCAGUGAGCUCAAAGAGACAGUGCGUCUGAAAUACUCAGAACUCCACAAAAUUACCUAGACUCAACUUGCCCUUGACUCCCAAGGACUCCUCUUUUAUUACUACCGUAUAGCUCAACUUGGUACAUCAGUGAUGGGUAUUAGGCCACAUACUAUUGGAUUUCUCCUGAAUCCUUCUGUAAUACAGCUUGAAAAAUGACAGCAGAACAUCCUCCAAUUAAUUCAGUUUGAAAAACUUCCCACGUGUGGGCAGUGAGCUAUUCCAGCCUUUUCAGUCCAGUUUACAAUGUUCCUUUAAGACACUUUGAUUCAGACAAUACCCAUUACUGCUGCCUGCUGAUAUAUACAGCCAGAGAGUGAAGGAGAUUAUAUUGUACAAGCCUCAACAUGAGAACUGUAGGUUAGUUAGAGCAGAUCUUGGCAAUAGUUCAGAUACAGGGGAAAAAAUUGCUGCUAAUAUCCACUGGACAUAAAUUACCAGUUUAAAACUAGCACCAGUUCAUAGAUUUAAAUGGAUUUUUAAUGGACUCCAGCCUCACGAUUAAAGCAAUAAGAGGAUAUGAUUCUUCUAUCCCCAGUGGCAUCAUAAGGGCUUCAUUGACAUGUGCCUUCAUGAUUUACGGUUGACUGCCUUAAUCAGAGCUCCAAGCACUGUGGGAAAAUGCCCGGGCAGCAAGACAGAUCAUGCAAAAAUGCAUGCUAAUUUGGCUUUUUGAGCUGUAUUCACAGAGCUCAGCCUGCUUUUGCUCUGCCUGACCCUGCUCCAGAGCAAUCAGCAAGGCUGCCCACAGCCUUUGCUGCCUGCAUUGGAGCCGUGGUAUUUUUCUGUUGAUUACUGUCACGCACUAAUUUCAAGACUGAAAUGUCAGUGAUCUUGUAAGCCGUCUUUGCUUUGCUUUGGUUUAUUUUGUGGCUCAGUCCAUAAGAAGCCACGGAGGUAGCCUAUGCAGCCCUAUGAAACACACAAAGAAUAUGAGCAAAAUGUGUAUGUGGAAAUAGCACUCGCUCCUUUACUACAUCUACCAACUUGCCUUAAAAUGGCUAAAUGGAAAUACUGGAAAACCCAGUGCAUCGACCACAGAGGCAGCUCCCCAGGAGUUUACCCUUGCUCCUGAUGUUAUAGCCAUUAUAGCACAAUCAUUUUGAAGCACUGUGAUUUCCUUCGAAAAUCAGAAUGAUCCCUACAGUGAACCUUUCCCCUCUCUCCCCUUUAUUCUUCUCUUUUUCCCUGGAGGCAGUAUGUCUUAUCUUGGUUUUGUCCCUCGUGGAUAAGUUAAACUGUAUCUUAGAUGUCACAUUCUGUCACACUUAUCUAUGAUUUCAUGCAUGUAGCAAGACAGGAUUGUAGCUCACAAGCUUUGUUACUACCCCAAUAUUUUUAGGUUGUGACUAUGGUAAACAUUUAAGUAAGUUGCUUCUACAUCACCAUAAAAGAAAGCUGUCAGAUUUAUCUUUUUGUAUAUCCACAUGAUUACAUGCUAGGGAGUCUCAAACUAUGAUCCUUACCUAUUAUAUAUAUGUAAGAAUAUGUAUGCAUAUUUUUAAGUAGUCUGGUCACUGGGAUGGUACCAGCCACCCUAGAGUUUGGUCUCAGUAUGAACCAAAACGCUUACUGCUUGAUGAACUGUUGACUAAAAGUUUUGACAUCCAGGCUCCCAAUGGACACUAAGCCAGACAUGGUGGCUUAAUGCAGAGGACAGCUACAAAAGCACAAGCCUUGACAAAGAAACCUGUCUCCCCUCUUUUCCAGGCUUUGAUUCUGUCAUGAAGGGUAUGUUACUGUAUGUACUGCUUAGAAGAUUUCCAUUACACGUCUCCUUUUUAGCUAAAAUGUUACACACAGGCACGUAACAGAGACCUGAUGUUACAGUUCCUCCAAGGCUCCUCUAGUCUGCCCAAGCAGCUCAGGGACUUUCUUCUAACCUGUCAGUCUGGUAUCUUGACCUCUCCCCAGGGAUAUACUUUUAAAAUUAGGUAGCUUCCCUUUAUCUCAAGAACAAGAAGUAUCCCAUGAACAAUGUAUUGACUGAAAUGCCAAUUUCAAUGUAUGUUUCUCUGUGGCUGUGCAGAAUGGCUCUUCCUGCCAACGUCUGCCCUGGGAGAGCACACUGCUCCCUCACUGCCAGCUUUUCUCCUGGUGAGAAAACUGCAAAUCAAAGCACUGAUAGCUCUCAUCAGUAAUUAGCAGCAGUGCUAUGAAAUACCAUGAGUUUAGCUGCAUGGAGAUGUUUUCUUUGGUAGGGAAAUACUAUGGAUGCCAUUCCUGCAUGUGGAUAUGUGCACAGCUGGAAGCUGGGACCCUUGGCAGAGCUGGGCAAGCUCCCCUAAACCCAAGCAUGACUUUCUGCCAUCCCAUCCACAGUGUCUCUAAGCUCAUGGCAUGGAUAUGCCAUCCCAGAUUUCCUUCCCGACAUGAAAAUGGAUGAGAAAUAUGAGAAAAACCACCCACUUUGUUUUAGGUAAUGGUAGUAUCAUUUAUGAGCAAGCUAGAAGGCUUGGAUUGAAAGGCUGAUUGACAAGGAGCUGAUCAGCCUCACUUUACCACUACAAGAGAGCACAGGAGUUAAUAUUUCAGGCAUGAUCUGAGGUGGCAGUGGGUAGGCGAGGUGCUAGAGAUGACACUAAUGCAAUUCUGACAGGCUGUGACUUCCUGAGUGCAUAACUGAAGGGUUUGGUGAAGCCACGACGUGUGAUCCACCAGUAAUGACAUUGCUGUGGAGUGAAACAAGAGGAGUUCGGAGCAAGUUGGCUAAAACUCUUCCCUUUUUUGUAGGCACUUAACCUAAUAGACCCCAAAAUCCUCCAGUGGGUUCACAUCACAGGAGGAGAGGGAUGAGGAAUGAGGGCUUUGGAACUGAACAACUCCAGUUGUUGGGUCUGUUUUCAAGGAAAUAUGCUAAAAAAUGUAAAUGCAGCAGUAAAUAACCGCUGCUUGGAAUCAUUCAGUAAAAGAAAUAAAGACAA